rnacentral:rRNA from 1 species
AUACGGAGGAUCCGAGCGUUAUCCGGAUUUAUUGGGUUUAAAGGGAGCGUAGAUGGGUUGUUAAGUCAGUUGUGAAAGUUUGCGGCUCAACCGUAAAAUUGCAAUUGAUACUGGCAGCCUUGAGUACAGUUGAGGUAGGCGGAAUUCGUGGUGUAGCGGUGAAAUGCUUAGAUAUCACGAAGAACUCCGAUUGCGAAGGCAGCCUACUAAACUGCCACUGACAUUGAUGCUCGAAAGUGUGGGUAUCAAACAGGAUUAGAUACCCUGGUAGUCCACACGGUAAACGAUGAAUACUCGCUGUUUGCGAUAUACAGCAAGCGGCCAAGCGAAAGCGUUAAGUAUUCCACCUGGGGAGUACGCCGGCAACGGUGAAACUCAAAGGAAUUGACGGGG